UGUCAUUAUCGUGCAAGUUAUCGUCUCUGGUGGCUCUCUAAAUCGACAUCGAUGUCGAGAUUGCAAAGUCUAUCGUGAUAAAAUUAUCUGCUUCGAUUGCAGUACGAAGGAUCCGACUUGGGUAUAUAGGUGUUUUACCUGGAGGAAAGGUAAUUCCAACGAAUAGACAGACAAGAAGAGCACUGAGUAAUAUAAACAAGAACAUCAUCGGAGCUCCUGUUUAUCCUUCUGCUGUCAACAAGAGACCAUUCACCAAGAAGAAUGGGAUAUGUAACAAGAAGAUUCCACUCCAUUGCAUCGUCUGG